rnacentral:rRNA from 2 species
GAUGAACGCUAGCGGCAGGCUUAAUACAUGCAAGUCGUACGGGAUCCGAGGUAGCAAUACUUUGGUGAGAGUGGCGCACGGGUGCGUAACACGUAUGCAACCUACCUAUAACCGGGACACAACCUCGAGAAAUUGAGGCUAAUAUCCCAUAACACUGCGAGAUGGCAUCAUUUUGCAGUUAAAACUCCGGUGGUUAUAGAUGGGCAUGCGCGACAUUAGCUAGUUGGUGAGGUAACGGCCCACCAAGGCUACGAUGUCUAGGGGUUCUGAGAGGAUUAUCCCCCACACUGGUACUGAGACACGGACCAGACUCCUACGGGAGGCAGCAGUAAGGAAUAUUGGUCAAUGGGCGCAAGCCUGAACCAGCCAUGCCGCGUGAAGGAUGACGGCCCUAUGGGUUGUAAACUUCUUUUGUACGGGAAAAAACCUCUGGUCGAGAAUCAGAGCUGAUGGUACCGUAAGAAUAAGCAUCGGCUAACUCCGUG